GAUGAACGCUAGCGGCAGGCUUAAUACAUGCAAGUCGAGGGGCAGCAUGACUGUAGCAAUACAGUUGAUGGCGACCGGCAAACGGGUGCGGAACACGUACAGAACCUUCCUUCGAGCGGGGAAUAGCCCAGAGAAAUUUGGAUUAAUACCCCAUAGUAUAUUGGAGUGGCAUCACUUUGAUAUUAAAGAUUUAUCACUUGAAGAUUGCUGUGGGGCUGGUUAGGUAGUUGGCGGGGUAACGGCCCACCAAGCCUGCGAUCAGUAACUGGUUUGAGUGCACGACCAGUCACACGGGAACUGAGACACGGGCCCGACUCCUACGGGAGGCAGCAGUAAGGAAUAUUGGUCAAUGGACGAAAGUCUGAACCAGCCAUGCCGCGUGGAGGAUGAAGGUCCUCUGGAUUGUAAACUUCUUUUAUAUGGGACGAAAAAAGGCUUUUCUAAGUCGUCUGACGGUACCAUAUGAACAAGCACCGGCUAACUCUGUGCCAGCAGCCGCCGCCGUAA
rnacentral:rRNA from 1 species